rnacentral:rRNA from 1 species
CUCGAAGUUUAUGGGAGGUUUAGCCUGCCCACUGAAAGAUGUAAAGGGCCGCGGUAUUUUGACCGUGCAAAGGUAGCAUAAUCAUUAGUCUUCUAAUUAAAGGCUGGAAUGAAUGGCUGGACGAGGUAUUAGCUGUCUCUUAGGGAUAAAUUUGAAUUUAACUUUCUAGUGAAAAGGCUGGAAUGAAAUUGGAGGACGAGAAGACCCUAUAGAGCUUUACACUUUCUUUUAUUUUAAUUCAUUUAGCAGGAGUUUAUUUUUGUAGGGGGAGUGUUUCGUUGGGGUGACGGGAAGAUAAGGUAAACUCUUCUUUAGAAAAACCACCGAUGAGUGAUUUGAUUGAUCCAUUUUUAGUGAUUAAAAGACUAAGUUACCUUAGGGAUAACAGCGUAAUCUUUUUUGAGAGUUCUAAUCGACAAAAAGGGUUGCGACCUCGAUGUUGGACUAAGGAUUAUUCUUGGGUGCAGAAGUUCAAGGUUUAGGUCUGUUCGACCUUUGAAUCCUUA